UCCUUGAGUGUAAGGUUUCGCUAAUUGUGGGAAAGUUUUAAUUUUAGUGUUUAAGCAAUUGAAAAAAAAUGUAAACCCAUUCAAUAAUGGU